rnacentral:tRNA from 1 species
GCUGAAAUUCUAAUUAAACUACUCCUUGA